AUAACCGGGGCCGGAGGGGUGUGGCCUGGACCCAGGAAGUGGCGGUGCUGCUCGGGGACGUGGCGGUGCGGCUGCUGCAGGGCAAAGAGGUCACGGUGAGCAAAGCUGAGGACCCAGGGAUGGUCGGUCCCGUGCUUUCCGCUGUCCCGACGUCGGCCCUCCUCCUGCCUCCCUCCUCCAGGUGGACGGGCGCCCUGUGGCCUUGCCCUUUCUGCAGGAGCCGCUGCUGUACGUGGAGUUACGGAGACGCACCGUGAUCCUGCACGCCCAGCCCGGGCUCCAGGUGCGGCGCAAGGGCCAGUGGGGGUGUGGGAGCCUUGGACCUGUUCAGGCCUCUGUCUGUAGAGGGAGUGGGAAUACCAGCUGGGUCCCGUGCCAAAUCAGGCCAGUGAGGUCAGAAAGUUCUGCUGGAUUCUGAGGGGGAGGAAAGGAAUCAUGGUCGGAGACCUUGGGUGCAGGGAAGGGAGGUCUGAGCCUGGUUUCUAAUCUUGAUUCAGUCACCAACGCAGUGGGACUCUUAGGCCAGUACCAACCCUCUCUGGGCCUGUUUUCUUAUUGGUAAAAAGGGGGAACAAUUCAGGGGAUGCCAACUAAGGUCUACGUGGUUUCUGAAAUUCCUUCCAAAUCCCAUGUCGAAGAGUAAAUUUCUCCCUGCCUUCGGCAAGAAGUACAAUUUGUAAAUGCCUAAAACAAGUCUCAUCGAUACUUCUGAUCUGGACUCUAAUCGUGCUUCAUCCUCUCUAAGGCCCUAAUGCCCAUGAGAAAGUGAAUCUCUGAAGCAUUUCACCAGGGGGCCCAGUUCAGGGGUGCCGAUGGGAGAAGGUGCCCUCCUGCCGGAGCUGUGGGCAGCUCUUCAUGUCUUCUGUGUGUGCCCAGGACUCACAGAGCAUGUGCCAACUUGGCUUUGGCCAGGGCAGCCUCCUUUCCACGGGGAACCUCUACCCGCCCAUUCUCCUCCCCCACAGCGUGGAGUGUGCUGACAGUGCAUGGGGCCAGGGUGGACCCUGGGCUUCUGGGGGUCCCUACCUUUCCCCAUUCCCCGAUUCCAACCUCUCUGCCCAGGUGCUGUGGGAUGGGCAGUCUCAGGUGGAGGUGAGCGUGCCCAGCUCCUACAGGGGCCAGAUGUGUGGGCUCUGUGGGAACUUCAAUGGCUUUGCCCAGGAUGAUCUGCAGGGCCCUGAGGGGUUGCUCCUGCCCACAGAGGCUGCAUUUGGGAAUAGCUGGCAGGUGAGUGGCACAGGAGCCGGGUGGCUGAGUGUGAUCAUAGAGCAGCCCUCUUAUAUGGAAAGGGGGGUGGGCACGAGAUGGGCUUUGCAGCUUCAGGGUGAUUUGGGGGCUUCUUGCUUCUGUCGUGGUGCUGGGGGAGGCAGCGUGGCCUGUUGAAUGAGGCCUCAUCAUCCGAAUCCGCAAGCCCUGCCUUGCCACUCACUGGCUGUGUGACCUUGGGUGAGUCACUUAACCUGUUCUGGGCCUUAGCUUGUCCAGCUGUAAAAUGGGGACAAGGAGAAAGUAGCUGGUGCUUCCUUUGCUAUUCUUGUCGGGAGAUUUUUGGAGCUAAACCAAAAUAUUUAGUGGAAAGUGUUUUUGAAGCACGUAGCACACAGAGAUCAGCCGCCAGUGGAUGCUGUGACAUCAGGGUCACUCUUGCCACCUAGGUCCCAGAAGGGCCGGGACCCAGUCGGAUAUGUUCCAAGGGCCGCGAGGUGGAUCCGUGCAGGGCAGCGGGUUACCGUGCCAGGCGUGAGGCCAACGCCCGGUGUGGUGUGCUUAAGUCCUCCCCGUUCAGUCGCUGCCACUCUGUGGUGCCACCAGAGCCCUUCUUUGCCGCCUGCGUGUAUGACCUAUGUGCUUGUGGCCCCGGCUCUUUGGCUGACGCCUGCCUCUGUGAUGCCCUGGAAGCCUAUGCCAGUCACUGUCGCCAGGCAGGGGUGACACCUGCCUGGCGGGGCCCCACACUCUGCGGUGAGGGGGAAAUGCCCAGCGCGAGUUGGGGAAGAGGGUGAGCAGGGCACCUGGAGCGCUGCCAGGGUGCCCCUGUGACCCUGCCUUCCGCUCCACCUGCAGUGGUGGGCUGUCCCCUGGACCGCGGCUUCGUGUUCGAUGAGUGUGGCCCGCCCUGUCCCCGCACCUGCUUCAACCAGCACAUCCCCCUGGGGGAACUGGCCGCCCACUGUGUGAGGCCCUGCGUUCCUGGCUGCCAGUGCCCCGCGGGCCUGGUGGAGCACGAGGCCCACUGUAUCUCACCCGAGGCCUGCCCCGCAGUCCAGCUCACUGGGGACCAGCCACCCAGGCCUCCGCCCAGCCCUGGCCAGUAGCCAGGACACCAGGACUCAUCAGGUCAGAAGCCUCUCCUCUGAGAACAGCUCCCACCCUGGCCAGAGCCAUGGAAAGAGUACCCCACCCAGGCAUGGGGUCCUGUGUCCCACAAAGACCUCAUCGUGUUCAAUCAGAAGCAGUAAAAUCGGGGCCUCUCCUACAGCUUACUUGUGUCUAUGUGUCUUUUCUGCUGGUGCUGGGAUGGUGGGGGCUUGGAAUAUGGGGUACAGCAGCGGUUAGUGUCCCCAGGAUCAGAGAGGUGGCAGCUGUGGGAGCUGAGCCUUCACUUCUUGCACUUACCGUACCCUGGUGUUGCCUGGGAAACCCUGCAAUGGAAGGAGGACCUAGGUAUCCUGGUCCCAGCUCCGUGCUCACACUAUGUCACAAGCAUAGCCCAUGGUCCCCACAUUGGUACCUCUGUGGAUCCAUGUGGAAUCCUGUUAGGAGGCUGAGGGGCACGGAGAAGGGGCUCAGUUUCCCCACAUGGCAUUCCCUUUCCUCUUGAUUUGGGGAAUACCAAAGGCUAGGCACCUCCUGGGCUACUCUAACAGCUGGUGACAUAGGGACCCCAUGCCUGGGGUGGGGAACAGAAGACACAACAGACUGUGAUGAAAUAUGGACACACGUGCACGCACACACACACACACACACACACACACACACCUCAGAAACCCAGAUAAACAUGCGCGGCACAUGCAUGGGCCCAUGUGUGCAUUCACAGCCACACCCACCCUGGACGGACAUGUGAGCAGGAGACAUCCUUGUAGGGAAAGGAGCAUGGUUUUUGAAAUAGACAAAAAGUCUAUUUCCUUGAAAAGUCUGUCUUCGAAAAGAACUCUAGUUUUUUUUGGCUGUGACCUUGGUGUUUUAGGAACCUUGGCUAAAAGAUCGGGGUGGGAGGGUCCUCCAUUCUCAUUGCCAGGUCCCUAAUCUUUCAACAGGAGUGAAGAGAGAGUGUUGGGCUAAACUGAGAUGGCCUGCCCUGCGAGCUUAGCCCACUUCUGCUGAGGCCCACCGGAGAGAGGUGGCCUCUUUCUCUCGCAGAGCCGUUUCAAAGCAGCAGGCACGCAAGGCUGCUCGUGACAGCACAGCGUGUGAACGUCACAGACCAGCUCGUGUGUUUGCACCUCCCCUCGUUAUGACCUGUACAAACCGUGUCCUCGCCUGAUGCAUCUCGCAUGUUGUGAGGAGUAAACAGAGUGACCUGUGGCCAGCACUUUGCACGUGGACAGCUUGGAACAAGCCCUUGGGAAGUGCUCACCGUCGCCCGGCCCGUGGCUGCUUGCGCCUGGGACCGUGUUUACCCCAAGCCUGUUUAUCACGGCCAUUUGCCUCCAGAUGAGGGGGACGUUGCCACAUGUUAGCUAGGGCAGUUUACUGUCUAGGCUGUUUUCUAAUCUGUAAAAUUGGGAUAACGAUAGCACCUACUUCUCGGAGUUGCUUCAAGGACGGAUUACUUGUAUGUAGCAUUUUGUUUCCUGCAGAUAGUAAGCUGUUGGUAGCCGCUGUUCGUAUUGGGCAAAUUACGUGUGGCUAUAAUGCAGUUGCAAGCUUCACAUGUAUACGUAAAACACGUACCCGGUCAGGAUUGCAAACAAGCAUAUGCAGACACCUCUCCCUCACACUGCCAUCCCCCACAGCCAGGAAACCCAUAUCGGAGGCGGGCCAGAGUCUCUGUGAGACUUGGCUGGGUCCGGGCCCUGGCUCAGAUGUCAGGUCCCUGCAUUAUUGAGCUCAGGAGCCUUUGUCUCCUCCUCAUUCCUGGUCCUCCCUUCUCCACGCUCCAGCAGCAGAGGAGAGGAGGGAGGGGACAUCUGCCCUGGCUCCCCAACCCCAUGGAACAGGCAGCCGCCCCUGGCGGCCGAGGGCUCCCCUGUAGCCAAAAGCAGGCCUUAGCUCUGUACCAGCACCUCUUUAGAUGCCCUGCGGGCCUGGGCCCACUCCAGGCUGCGCUGCAGCAGGUGAGGGAGGUGGGGCAUUGUCUCCAAAGGGCACGGUGGAGGCCUGAUGCCAUCUUGUCCCCCCAGGUGCAAGAGAGUCGGGCCUGUCCCUCGGGACUGGAGCUGCCCGCUGUGUUGCUGGAGAUGGAGCGGAGCCGGCGGGCCCAGGAACAGGUAGGGGCUGGCCGAGGGGCAUGGCAGAGGGCAGUGUGGGCACCCCUUCAUGCUCUGGCAAUGCGUCUUUUUGUAGCUCCUGUGGGACUUGGAGCUGCUGACUGGGGCGGGGCUGGGCCUCUUCUGGCCCCCCCGGGCCCAGUUCUGCGGUCUGAGGGACCGGGCCCAGUGUGCAUGGAGCCAGCGCAGCAAGCCCCGUGGUAGGAUGGGUAGGGGCCCCGAGCAGCCGAACAGCUGGGUGAGCAGGGGCAUGGCUGAAGGCAAGGGGGUCAGUGUGACGUCAGGGUGAUUGUGGUGGGGAGGAAGGUGAAUGGGGUGUGGGCUUUGGGCACAUAUGGACCUGGGUUGGGUCUCUGUUUUGACGCUCCCCGUGGACUGUAAGCCUCUGUUUUCUUAGCUGCAAAAUGGGGACGA
rnacentral:lncRNA from 1 species